UCAAAUGAAUUGACGGGGCCCGCACAAGCGGAGGAACAUGUGGUUUAAUUCGAUGAUACGCGAGGAACCUUACCUGGGCUUAAAUGUAGAGUGCAUGAUGUGGAAACAUGUCUUCCCUUCGGGGCUCUCUGCAAGGUGCUGCAUGGUUGUCGUCAGCUCGUGCCGUGAGGUGUCGGGUUAAGUCCCAUAACGAGCGCAACCCUUGCCAUUAGUUGCUACGAAAGGGCACUCUAAUGGGACUGCCGGUGACAAACCGGAGGAAGGUGGGGAUGACGUCAAGUCCUCAUGGCCCUUAUAGGUGGGGCUACACACGUCAUACAAUGGCCGGUACAGAGGGUAGCCAACCCGCGAGGGGGAGCCAAUCCCACAAAGCCGGUCGUAGUCCGGAUCGCAGUCUGCAACUCGACUGCGUGAAGUCGGAAUCGCUAGUAAUCGCGGAUCAGCAUGUCGCGGUGAAUACGUUCCCGGGUCUU
rnacentral:rRNA from 1 species